UGGGGGAUAUUGCACAAUGGGCGAAAGCCUGAUGCAGCGACGCCGCGUGGGGGAUGAAGGCCUUCGGGUUGUAAACUUCUUUUGCUCUGAACAAGGCAUGCUAAUGGGUGUGUUGAGUGUAGGGGUUGAUUAGCGCCGGCUAACUACGUGCCAGCAGCCGCGGUAAUACGUAGGGCGCGAGCGUUGUCCGGAAUUAUUGGGCGUAAAGGGCUUGUAGGUGGCUGGUUGCGUCUGUCGUGAAAGCUCAUGGCUUAACUGUGGGUUUGCGGUGGGUACGGGCUGGCUUGAGUGCAGUAGGGGAGGCUGGAAUGCCUGGUGUAGCGGUGGAAUGCGCAGAUAUCAGGAGGAAUACCGGUGGCGAAGGCGGGUCUCUGGGCUGUUACUGACACUGAGGAGCGAAAGCAUGGGGAGCGAACAGG
rnacentral:rRNA from 1 species